AAUAAUUCACAAUGGGGGCAACCCUGAUGGUGCAACGCCGCGUGGAGGAUGACGGUCUUCGGAUUGUAAACUCCUGUCAUCCGGGAGUAAGACCUGGCUGUGAAUAGCAGACAGGGUUGAUAGUACCGGAAGAGGAAGGGACGGCUAACUUCGUGCCAGCAGCCGCGGUAAUACGAAGGUCCCGAGCGUUGUUCGGAAUCACUGGGCGUAAAGGGAGCGUAGGCGGCGUGGUAAGUCAGAUGUGAAAUCCCGGGGCUCAACCCCGGAACUGCAUCCGAUACUGCCGUGCUAGAGGAUUGGAGAGGUAGCUGGAAUUCUUGGUGUAGCAGUGAAAUGCGUGGAUAUCAAGAGGAACACUCGUGGCGAAAGCGAGCUACUGGACAACUCCUGACGCUGAGGCUCGAAGGCCAGGGUAGCGA
rnacentral:rRNA from 1 species